rnacentral:rRNA from 1 species
CUACGGGGGGCUGCAGUGGGGAAUAUUGCACAAUGGGGGAAACCCUGAUGCAGCAACGCCGCGUGGAGGAUGACGCAUUUCGGUGUGUAAACUCCUUUUAUAUGUCAAGAAAAUGACGGUAGCAUAUGAAUAAGCACCGGCUAACUCCGUGCCAGCAGCCGCGGUAAUACGGAGGGUGCAAGCGUUACUCGGAAUCACUGGGCGUAAAGGACGCGUAGGCGGGUUGGAAAGUCAGGUGUGAAAUCCUACAGCUUAACUGUAGAACUGCACUUGAAACUUCUAAUCUAGAGUAUGGGAGGGGGAGAUGGAAUUAGUGGUGUAGGGGUAAAAUCCGUAGAUAUCACUAGGAAUACCUAAAGCGAAGGCGAUCUCCUGGAACAUUACCGACGCUAAGGCGUGAAAGCGUGGGGAGCAAACAGGAUUAGAUACCCGGGUAGUC